ACGGGAACUCAAAGGAGACUGCCGGUGACAAACCGGAGGAAGGUGGGGAUGACGUCAAGUCAUCAUGGCCCUUAUGAGUAGGGCUACACACGUGAUACAAUGGCGGAACAAAGAGAAGCGAACCCGCGAGAGGAAGCCGACCCUCAUAAAGUCGGUCGUAGUCCGGAUCGGAGUCUGCAACUCGACUCCAUGAAGUCGGAAUCGCUAGUAAUCGUAGAUCAGAAUGCUACGGUGAAUACGUUCCCGGGCCUUGACACACCGCCCGUCACACCAUGGGAGUGGGUUCAAAAGAAGUAGGUAGCUAACCU
rnacentral:rRNA from 1 species